rnacentral:rRNA from 1 species
AUUGAACGCUGGCGGCAGGCCUAACACAUGCAAGUCGAGCGAGCGGCGGACGGGUGAGUAAUGUCUGGGAAACUGCCUGAUGGGGGGGGAUAACUACUGGAAACGGUAGCUAAUACCGCAUACCAUCAGAUGUGCCCAUAGGUGAUUGGCUAGUCGGUGGGGUAACGGCUCACCUAGGCGACGAUCCCUACCUGGUCUGAGAGGAUGACCAGCCACACGGGAACUGAGCCACGGUCCAGACUCCUACGGGGGGCAGCAGUGGGGAAUAUUGCACAAUGGGCGCAAGCCUGAUGCAUCCAUGCCGCGGGGGUGAAGAAGGCCUUCGGGUUGUAAAGCACUUUCAGCGGGGAGGCGUUACCCGCAGAAGAAGCACCGGCUAACUCCGUGCCAGCAGCCGCGGUAAUUC